UUCCACCUGUUCGUCUCUCGUUCAAUUCCCAUCGUGGAUCUCGCAUCUUUCUCGCCCACCACACAGGUUGUGCCGCCGUUGACGUUUCGUCGGAUCCCACCUCCCCCCGGUGCAGUCCAUGCUCGCCCCAUCGGAACAUUGCCUCCGUCCCCGUCUAGCCGUCGAUGUCCUCCUUAUCCUGUCUUUCGUUGGAAAGGCCACCGGGGAGCAUCUAUUUGUCGGGGCGGCCACGAGCUCCAUCCCCAGAUCGGUGGCGCACGACACCCCUGAAGCACGGGUAUGUAUCCGAUUUUAUCUGGAGUUCUCGGGCGCGCUGUCGCCAGAUUUUCCACGCUCGGGCACCUAGCCAUGCGGUGGUGAGUGAUAAAAGCAAUAGUAAGUUUUGGGCGCCGCCGGUGAUGUCGGCACGUGGAACUCGGUGGGGCUGGAGCCUGGAGGUACUCUAUCAGGUCAUCGGGUGGAUCGCCUUCUUUGCCUGGUCCUUCAGCUUCUACCUGCAGGUGGUCCUCAACUACAAGCGCAAGAGGAACCUUCAUGGUACGAGACGCCGAGAUGGACAACUUCACUAUACCCUUUAUUCCAAAUUAUCUUGCUGAUUGAUGUUAAGGGUCUGUUUGGAUCGAUGCCUGCGGCAGCCAAGCCAAAAAAUUGGUAGUUGACCAGAGGGCGGGCACUUGUUUGGUUCGGGGCCGAUAAUUUGGCUGCCCAGGCCGCAUCAGCUUAUGCAGUUCAUUUUUUCCGCCAUUGAAUUGGCGAGUUGCUGGCGGCUGAAACCUGCGCAAAUUUUUUGGCUAGCCCGUGAUUUGGUAGGGCGUGCAGGGGCAGCAUCCAAACAGGCCCUAAGAAACUAUGAAAAACUUCUGGAUGACCUAAUUUUUUAUUUCUUAUUCUAA